CUAUUGCCUGCCGGUUAGCGAAACUUUUCCGGUAGUAUGAAUCGCUACGCUUCGCUUCUUUUUAUAUGAUAAUAUGCACCUUGGUUGCUGCGCUACCUGCGGGUAAUAGCAAGAGAGUGAAGAAGGAAUGAUCCUCCGAGUGAUUGAGUCUGACUCAAGUGAGUGAGUGAAAGGCGUGGCAAGAGAGCGAGUUCUACUCGCGAACGAUCAGCAAGUGAAGGACCGAUCCUUUUGUUUUGCGCCACCAAUACUGUUGCGAGACUGGUACUUGGCGGCUCACGAGCAAUAUAUAGACUAAGGUUGCCCAUCACUCCCUCGCUAAGGCCCUUUCUAUUCUCUUUCUAGUAUGGUUCCUUCAUAAGAACACGGAACGCCCAGCUUCGCAGAGCAGCUCUCUCCCCAGACCAGAGCAUAGUGUGGAAUCUGGGUCGUUUCAUCGAGCACCAUUUCUUUUAGAUAGAAAGGUAUUCUGACUUUAUUGGAUCAAAUAAGAACCUAAGCCUUCUACUAGUUUGUACAGACUAAGCUCUAUUUCAUAGAUUGGACUCUUGUACUGUGAUUCGCCCCUACUAGUAAGAAGCUGUUCGUUCCCUGGAUCCACGUGUUCCUAGUCGGGCCUAAAUGGAUGAAUGAAGAAGCGCGCCCGGGUAGACUUCAAGAGCUCUUUCUCUGCGUAUCCUCCUACUUCUUAUUCUGGGGGUCAUAGAAAGAUACGAACCGCCUACUCUUUCAAGCCCUACCAUUAGAUUGAAUAAAAUGAAAGCUGCUUGCCCUCAGUAAUAAAAAACAGCAAUCCCUCCCCUUCUGUUACCUACUUUUACUCAUAUCUUCGCGGUAUACCUCAAUACAAGACAAGCACAGGAAAGGAUAUUCAAUCAAAACCGGGCUAUCACCCUAUCUAAGCAGGUUUCCCCUCUCCUCUACGGAAGUCAUCUUUUAAUCUAUUUAAGUUCCUGUGUCUAUCGCUAUCGUCCUAUUUUCUCUCAAUUGCCUAUCCUUUAUAGAUGAGGGGGAGUACCUUAGCAGUAGCUUCCAACAACUUAAGAUUGACCUCCUCAAGUGCCAGAUAUGAAUGUUUUAUUAAUUUCAUACGGGACUACUUACUUACCUAAAGUGAACUUUUGGCUUACCUAAAAAGUGGACUGAAGGAACUGACCUAAGCAUAGCUCUCUCAAAUAAAAAUGCCUUUCAUUUCUCUUUUAAGACCUUUGUCCUACUUCUAGUCUCAGUCCUCCAGCCUAUCGAAAGUCAUCUUUUUAUUAACAUUAACCAACAACACAUGCACUUUGUUGGCACUAAAAAAAAGGUUAUUCAAUCCACUAGUGCAACUGAAGGAAUUACCUCUUCUGAACCGGAAUAAGAAAGAGCUCAUAACCACUACUUGUGAACAGCUCUCCUCAACUGAAGGCGCACCUACUGUUACUAGAAGUCUAGUCUCUCUCAGGUCCAGUUUCGAUCUCGAACUACAACAUAGGCGGGAAAAGAGAUAUUCAGAAAAGCCGAUUUCCUGUCCUGUCUUAAGAACCUGACUCAAAAGAGAAAAGAAGACCGGACUAAAAGAGAUCUCACUUUCGACGAUUGAACUCCACUUUCAUAUCAGGCUUGCACUGGAAUUCACUUUCAGGAAUCCUUGCUCCUGGCUCAUAUUCACAUAGGCCACUCAUAAGAAUAAGACGUUCAACUCCCUCAAACACGUGUAAUUGAGAGAGUCAGAAUAUCAGUGCCUUGGGUAAAUGUCUACCUUCGGGAGAAUCUUACCGAACGACUUUCAAACCUGUCCUCUUCGCUUCCCAAGAGAUUGGAUUUAGGUAAAAGGGCCUUGUCGGCCACCGCUUUUAUUUUCAUUCAUUUUUCCUAUUAAAAAAAAAAGAAAAGACCCCCGCUCGAACUAACUUUCAACGCUCGAACUCCAGAACGAAACUCAAGUCAUUGCUCAUUCCCGCUCAUGCUUGCUAUAACAAUUCCCUUGCCUACUAGACUUGUCUAAGAAAAGAUGCACGAGCCACUCUUUCUCUUAUAUACGGUAUUUUAAGAUAGUGAUUUGAAUGCCUAUCCCCUGCCUAUGCUAAGCCUUUACUACCUACCCUUACCUGUCCGCCUUGAACUACUGCGCCUGCGCAUACCUUUUCUUGCUCCAUCCAGAAGGUAGCUUGAACUGGCAUUGUACAGAUAGAUAGCCAGUAGAAAGAACUAUUCCCAAGCUGGAGAGGUGGGAGAGGAGAUAAAUUGAAGUGGAUCUCCUAUCUAUAUUCGACAGCUUGAAGAGGGCGGAUUUAGAAAGCAAAAUUUUCAUUGAAAGCGAUUGUGCCUACCACAGUCAAGUUCGGUAUUUACUAGCAAGGAAAAGGGUAGGAUCUACCAAGACGGGUGGCAUGUGAACCGCUUUGGAGUGAAUCGGUUAAGAACCGCAGAUGGCACAUCGAAUCCCCGCAGCCACUUUGCUGAGUUGAUAGAUAGAUAGAUGAACUAGCCCGAGGACCAAAGGAGAGUACUUCUUUUGCCAUUGGAAGCUGCUGUCAGUAGGCAUUCUUUGCGCCAGAAAGAGAGAUUGUAUUGUAGCUUAACUUCUUAAACAAAGCCGGCUCCAGUUCUAUUCAGAAUAGGGCAAGAAAGCGACUUGCCGCCUCAGUCACGAAGGAAUACCGAAGAGCCUAAAGAGGGUGUUAGAAUGCAGCUAGAUAGAGAACUAUAAGAUAAGAGGGAUUCCAUGGGUGAGAAGGCUGACAUGAAGGCUCUCAUUCCAAACCGGUAAAGCGCAAGGGGCAAGCAGUUGACUCUUUCACUCGGACUCACUAGCAACUCCAGGAGCGACCCCUCAUCAUCUUACGAUGAAAAGCAGGUUUAUUCCGUGGUAAACCACAACGAGUAAGCGAGAUAGGGUGAGGUAAAGCCUCAGACCGGUCAAAGGAGCCUCCGUAAAACCUCAUCAGACAGGUAGCGGAAGCUGAUAGAAAGGGGCGAUGAGCUCAGUAGAGGAGAAGCCGUCCUGAUGAAAUAGAAAGCCCUAGCUAUGAGUGACUCAAAUCUAGCCGUGAUGCGCGAGGGCCAAUAUUCAAAUGAAAGCAAGGGGCUGAUUGCCCUCAUGGGGAAGGGAUGAAUACGAGCAGUCGGAAGAGCAGCUCUCUCAGAAGCAACCAAUCCAAGAAUUGAUGGAUUUGGUAGAGUGCCAGUCACAACACUAGAACCAAGUUAGGUGAGCUUGAAGGCAUCGGUUGAAGCCCUUAGUUGCAAGGUCUUUGACUGUGCCCAAGAAAGGGAUGGAUAAUAGAUCUUAGAUAGUUCCCACUUCCACUUAACAAAGGAAAGAUAUCACACACUACACAAGACAAUCAUGUGCAAGCUGCUUGAGUUGAAUCAGCCUCAAUUCCUCUCUCACUCACGAUGAAAGCUAAGAGCUUGCUCGAAGACAGCCUUUACUUUAUAGUUGUAAUCUAUCCUAUCCUAUCCUUUAGGCGGGGAUAGGUUCAUAGGAGGACUUGGUUACAUAGGAAGGAAAGGCUUAAACUAGAAGGGAUAAGAAAGGGAAUUUGUGCAACACUCUUAGUAGAAGGCCGAGUUGAAACUCCCUCUAUCCGCGUACAGGACAAGCAAGUUAUUGAGGGCUCUUUAUGCCAAAUACUUUGACACUACAGGGGAGAAAACCAGAAAUCUCCUAAGCAAUAAAGAUCUUCCUAUUGAUACUAGCAUUAGUGCGACUGGCUCCCGGGGAAAAGGAAUUACACUAGAUCUUGGCAAUGGCACUCCAACAAGCUCGGCAGGGAGAGAAAGAAGAGAAGGAGAAGAGGAAGUACGACGAAAAGGGUAUGAAAUAGGUUGCUUGUAGCGAUUUCGAUUGCUUAUUCGGUUGGGAUUACCAGCCGACUUGCCUGACCAAAGAAUAAGAUAAAAAGAAGAGUUCCCGCCUACGGCUACAUGCCCAUUCAGAGCUAUACCUGGAGUCGAGCUAACUGCAUAAGAAAAGGGGAACUUUCCUAAAAAGCCUAAUAGCAAUUAACCGCAUUGGAAACGACGAAUCACACUCUGAAAGGAGGCACCCUCCCUUAUUACGUUACGGUCGAACCUCGCCUUUCUUCCUUCCUCUCCCGUUGGUCGAGCGUCUUCAAACCUUCGCUCCAAUACUUUCGAACAACUCUCGUACCCUUCGCUCAUAAGCUAACUAAGAGCAUGCCUUCGAUCCGGCGUGAACUCUUUGCAUUGCCUUUAGAGUAGAUGUAGUAGAUUGAGAUCUCUCGACAACCGUAAGAGGUUAAGGUUCCAACCUGGGAUUGUAGUUCAAUCGGUCAGAGCACCGCCCUGUCAAGGCGGAAGUUGCGGGUUCGAGCCCCGUCAGUCCCGACGCCGGAUUCAAAAAAGACAUCAAUUCCUCUCUCCAUUUUCUGUGGACAAAGAGUAGGAUCUAAUUUCCCAGCAGGAGGAUCCUUCUUUCGUUUCGCAUUUCUCAUCGGACAAAUAAAGUAAAGGAAUCCAAAUGACAAUAACUAGUAACGGGGAUAGACAUAUGUAGAUUGGUACAAUCGGGGGUAUCACCAUAUUCAGGAUUCAAAGAGAUACCGUACUGGUCGAGCUUUUUUCGAUUGUUCCUCCUGGUCCAUCGAAUAGAAAAUUUUGUGGUAUAUCGUAUAAUAAGAUCAAGGCUGCACGUGAAUCUGACUCUAAAAUUUUUAGGAGCCUCUUGCUUUUGGUGAAUUACCGGUGCUUAAUGCAAUAACCGGUGAGCAGACUUGCGACGUGCUUACGCCAUCGCGGACGUCCGGGUAUGGAUUACUGGAGUGAAGGGAUUGGCGCGAACCAGAGUGUGCUUCGAGACCAUCUUUCUCUCAGGAAAAACAACGAACAGGGGACGACCUCGUUCCCGAGUCUCAUCAAUCUCAAUGUCUAUGGGUCCACAGCCCGAUUGAAAAAAGUUUAACAUCCUGAACGAACUUCUUUCCUUAAACCCUCGUAAGGUAUCUCUAUCACUCGUUACGCCGAAUCAAUCAACAAGCAACCAUAAUUUUCUAUCUUCAACGCUUCAGGCAGGUGGCCUAGCUAACACAGCAAGGACUUACACCAUAUACUCAGUGCCCCUAAUAGAUGUGGAAUUAGACUUUCUCUCUUCUAUUUUUUUUAGACGGAUAUCGAACUCCUUCUUGGAUUCAAAAAAUGUGGGAAUAAAGAGUAUUAACAGAAAAUAUUUCAUCUUUCCUUGAUGCGGCAAUAAAUAGUCCUGACUUUCCUGAAAGCUUACUAAGGUGCGACGCCUGAUUGUGAGUCUCAUAGCCAUACGAGAGCUUGGAAUUACACCCUAGAAGGAGUUAGUCAAAGCCUUCCUUUCGCCCUCGCUUUCCUUCAUCUCAUGCAUCUGGGGAAGGAAGCGAAGCUGUUUAAGUAAGAGUUAGCGCCUAUGGAAAAGAGAUUUUAAUCGCUUUGUGGCGGGAUAAGCUGUGAUCUUAUUCCUAACUUGGGAUAUUAAGUAAAAUAACAUCACUCAUUGGCAAAGCAUGAAUUAGCCUUCGAGUUGUGGCUUCUUGUUCAUCUUUCACUAUCUGACCUUUCAUUUCAGGUUCUCUUCUCUUAGUCUUCCAUGGCCCAUUCCUCUAGAAAUGACUUUUUAAUAACCUAAUAAGAGAUCUAUUACGCGCAUCAUCGCAUAAUCUAUUUUCUUGGAAGGAAUUAGCUAACUAGCCUAGCUGACAAGGCAUGGCAUGAAUGGCGGGAUGCUAACUCGAUUCGCCCUUGCCUCUACGGGAUUACUACCUUAUAUAAAAAAAUAGAAAGCACCAAAGGUAAGCAGUUCCCAGUCGAAAGAUAAAAUUAUUCUUAGCAGUUAAACAAGUGAAUGGAAUUUUUUUCCCCCUAUUGGUUGACUGGGCUUCCCCAGUGUCAUCAUCGACCCGCUCCUGCACCAUCUCAUCCUUAGUGAAUAAAAAAGGGUGCUUGUGCUUCUUAAGUAGCAUUUACUUACCUUCUUCAUCGAAGGCUUCCAUUGAUAGGGAACUGUUCUAUCUAAUGUGGCAUUAUCACGUGCGGCAAGUGUUUCUGCCUCAUCCCCACCCCGAUGGCUAUAGUCGAGCAGAAAUGACUUAUCUAUUUAGUAGCUGAACCAAAGAGAAAGUAAGCCCCGUCGCUCUCACUACAGCCUUUCACUUUAACCGGGCAUAGGCCCUCUUUCCUAAUUCAUCUACUGGUCUUAUCUUACAAGCACCAGAAUGAGAGAAGGACUUCCUGGCUUGACUUUCUCACAUAAAAACUUCAUUAGUAUAGAUCUGUAGCCCGUUCUGGGUCUUUAACCGAAACUGGGACUAGGCAUGGAAAAGCUCGAUCAACGUCCUUCUCUCCCGAGGUUCGAAAUGUGGAGGUACCUUUACCGUCACCUGCUAGCUCUGUCCGCCACGGGUUAGCGACAUAAAGUGCGAAUAAAGGUUCAUCGGGACAUUUUCUUCAACAACUGAAGCCCUUAUUAUCCCAGCCUCCAAAGGAAGUAAAGACUACAAGUCCCUAUGGAAGUUCCUUGCCCACUUCUUGGCAUCUGCCUUUAUUAUGUUUCAUGUCCGCAAAUCGUAUUCAUGUCCGACCCCCCUUCUCUGUUGGCGAAUCGACUUCAGCUCCUGUACUUCUUUCUUUAGGGCCGUCUAAAAAGUCUUAAGUUCUUGAAAUUCGGCUCCUUUUGAAGCGGAGAAAGGGUGAAAGCUAAUAAGAACUUUUUUUCAUAACUUACUUGGAAAAUGAAACUCAUGCCUUUCCUUAAUCAGUUACUUGCCUCCUUCUGCUACUAUUGAUUCAAUUCCAAAGAUGGAGGAAGUGAAAACAGACUGAAAAGGAUAGGAAGGAGACUCGACCUUAGGGAGAUAAAAUCCCUUUUUCUCAAUCUCUUCUAGUUAGUAGUACCUACCGGAUGAAUUACUUCCCUUAAAGGCCUACCUUCCUUGGCACAUAGAUUAGCAUUAUUCCCCUUACCUUAGAUACGGAAAGCAUGUCAGACUGUAGAGUGGGCUUCCUACAAUCGGGGGCGAGUCACCUUCAUGCGGGGCUACCUAGCUACCAUGGAAGACAAACCUUCCCCCAUUGUCCAUUCGAAGGGCGCUGACUUUCAUUAUCAGGGUAUUUUCGAGGGGUGAAAGGUGCAUGUGGGGUUUUCGUACGCGGCUUAAAGCAAGCAUUUCAGGCAUUUCUUAAUGAAUAGCUAGAUGGUCUCCGCCGUCUAGGAUCUAUAGAUAGAGACCACGAGGGGAGAAGAACAUCAUCAAGUUCCUUUUUUCCGGGAUUUUGGCUACCUAUAGGCGAAAGAAUUCUACUUUUAUCGGCUGACUAUUCAUAGGCGAACGAAUUAGGCUUUUGAGAAGGACUAAGCAGCAAUCUCAGUGAAACGUGAGAGGCUCAUUGCGUACGAGCUUCAAUAGUGAGAGCUAAGCUAGGAACGGGGAAGGAUGAGCAGAGAGGGAAGGACUUUCUAACUGAACUUGACUUACCCAUAGAAGGAACGACUUAAAGGGUUCAGGUUUCUGGUUGAAUACCUAUCCCUGCCUUCUAGCAUUCAUGCCUCAUCUUUCAGAUUGAUCUAGCAUUCCAUACCGGAUUUCUGAUAUCUCUAUCUUUUUGAUCCGGAUUUCGUAUCUAUCUUUCUCAUAUUUGACUGAUUUUGUAUGCUCAUGCCUAAUCCUCUUGAUUAGACUAUCUAUGCCUAUCUUUCAAUCCGGAUUUGAUAUCCCUCUCUAACCUCUUCAAGGCAUGGGAAACCUAAAAAAGCAAAGGAGAGGCUAGCGGCGAAAGCAGAUUGAUAGGGGGUCACCCGGCUCUUUCUAACUAAAGGUCGGCGUAUCCUAUCACCUAAUCUUUCUAAGGAGCGAGAGCAUGGGAAACCUCUCAGAUUGAACUAGGCCUUCUGAAGCAUACCUUGCAUCGUCUAACUGCCCCCGCUAAAUCAUGAUUGAAUGUCUCAUUUUCCUCUUUCUUCUUUCUCGUCUUUGACACCAUUCGUCUGAUCAUGGCUAAGACUCACUAACAUUCUCUUUGCCAGCAGGCUCCCACUUGCUGGUUCCGGGCUUGCUGGCCUAUAAUCCAGAUUGAUCUAUUCAGAUUGAGGAAACACCGAGUUCAGGUCUUCUUUCUAUGCCCCAACUGGAGAAACUCUGAGAUUUCUCACUAUUCGUAUGAAAAUGGGGAAACAGUCUUUCUCAGACUCAAAUCCUUCUUUUUUUAUGCCACGGACUCCCCGAACGGACUUAUAGCAGCAAUACCAGCCAGAACCUCUGAUGAGACCUAUCCAUCGUACUAUCACUCUCCGCUAUUAGAGAGGCUUUUCACCCACAUGCGGGUCAUCCUUCUCUAAUACCUGCUAUAGGCAAGCUAAAAUAAGGGUCCACCCUCAUGCUUUAAGCCUAUAAUAGAAAGGGUAUAAAGAGGUAUCCUUAACGUGGGUUUUACCUAGGUAAAAUAGCAUUCUAUUGGGAUCAAAAUCCCCUUACAUGUAUUGGAUGAAAGGUCCUAACUCCUAGCAAAGUCAUUCUUCACUGUUUUUCCCCUUACCUUUGCCUGUCUUGAAAGCUUCUGGCCGGGGAGAUGCGGAACAUUCUUUGCCUCAUCUUUCAUGCCUACCUACCAUGCUAAUCAAGAUGGAAGAUCUCAUUUCGAAUUUGAGUUUGGAAACUUCCCUAGUUGAAAUGGGUAACGUGUUCCGCUGCUUGGACUGACUCUUGCUAUUGGAAACAUAUGCUCCCUAACGGUUUGGGCCCUUCCUUUCGUUUGAUGGCAUGCGCCUUCUUAGAAUAAGGCUAGGAGCUAUUCUCCAGUGAUGGCUGCCUUCACCCUAUGAGUGGGGUCUUUGCCUGGAAAAAAGGCUUUCACUAUAGAAAAUUCUCAAGUAGAUGUUCCCUGAAAUGGUUGCUCUUUCGAAAGCAAUGGUUGCUAGGAAUGGUUUUGCUGUCUAGCUCUUGCAAGCAAGGCGUGAAGCGAUUCUCUUGAGCUCUAACCGGCUAAACCCGCUUUGGUGGCCCGCCCCAAGUCUUGCCCAUAGCUGACUUCUUUGCUAGAUGAUAUCGAAUAGUACGACUAGAGUUCAAUCCCUCAGAAAGUCAUAGUACGACUACAGGGAAAGAGAUCUGAAAGUAGCCUUUUACCCCGUUAUUCGAUGGUGAAUGCAGCCUAGCUCUCCCCAUUCAAUAGGCUAAGCCUAUCCCUUUGCCGUAAAGCUAAGACAGAACUCAGCUAGGACCGAAGAUAGGAUUGCCAACCGGAUGAAAACCGAAGAGAGCAUUGCCAGUUUCAUUCCAGUCUUUUCUCAAUUGAGAAGUCAACCAACAGGUCAAUCCUUCCCUUAUAUCAUAUCCAUUUUACACAGUCUUUGUUGAAAUAGUGUAAAUAGUGCGAGACUUUCAACUAAUGAAAUCUAAACCAGCUAGUUCAGUCAGAUACCGGCUAAGCAACCUCUAAAGCAGCUAUCGGAGCAGUAGCAGCUUGAAAUUCGCAUACCAAAGACGAUGGAAUUCCCCACUUUCUAAUGCAAUACGGCAAAGCUUAGGGAGUCAGCUAGUCCAACAUCAGUCAUUCUAAUGGAAUAUCUGGAAUAUCGAACUAGGAAUUGAAAGACUUUCUUUCUUUAUAUACGAGUCAAUUACAUACCGGNCCUAUGCUAAGCCUUUACUACCUACCCUUACCUGUCCGCCUUGAACUACUGCGCCUGCGCAUACCUUUUCUUGCUCCAUCCAGAAGGUAGCUUGAACUGGCAUUGUACAGAUAGAUAGCCAGUAGAAAGAACUAUUCCCAAGCUGGAG
rnacentral:lncRNA from 1 species